AUGGAUGGCCCAGCAGCAAACACUAAAAAGGAGCUGCCCAAAAGAGCAAGAAAACCCAAAGAAGAAGAAACGUGUCUAUGAACCAGCCCCUGACUCACCUAGAGAUGACCAAGAUGAGGAGUGCCAAAAUGCUGUAGUAUUUGGGAAACACGGAAAGGUGCCAGAUGGAAAGACAGUCCUGGAUCAGUCCAAAGUCAGUGGAAUUCUAACUUACAUCAUGCGCUGUAGUGCACUGGAUGGAUGGACACCGGUUGAGAAAAGUAAGGUCUAAAAAGCUGUCAUAAACAAAUGUCCCAUGAGAGCUACAAACACAUGGACAAUUGAUGAGAUGACCAUGUUUAAAAAAGCCCUUAUAUACAAUGCUGCAUGAUGGGCCUUAA